rnacentral:rRNA from 1 species
CGGGUGAGUAACGCGUGAGGAACCUGCCUCAAAGAGGGGGGCAACAGUUGGAAACGACUGCUAAUACCGCAUAAGCCCACGGCUCGGCAUCGAGCAGAGGGAAAAGGAGCAAUCCGCUUUGAGAUGGCCUCGCGUCCGAUUAGCUAGUUGGUGAGGUAAUGGCCCACCAAGGCGACGAUCGGUAGCCGGACUGGGAGGUUGAACGGCCACAUUGGGACUGAGACACGGCCCAG